AAAAAGAAAAAGAAAAAGCCCUCUCCAAUCUCCUCCCCUCCUCCGUCGGCUGUGGUGGCCGGGAAUCACACCACCACCGCAGCCAUGCGCUUAUUCCAUAUGAAUAGAUCGAUGUGUGUUGUUUAAUUUGCAGAUCGAUCGAUGAGUGUUGUUUAAUUUGCAGAGGAGGAGAUAUAUAUAUAUAUGUGUGUGUGUGUGUGUAUGUGUUAUAACCGGUCUCCUAAUCCUCUUUGAUGCUCUUUGUUUGACACCAAACCGCACCACCAGUGGUGGUGGUGGUGGUGGUGUUUGUUGUCAAAUGGAGUAUCAGUGAAGAUGACGGAGUCCGAUUUAUCGGAUUAAUAACUCAAUCUAUCCGGCCUGCCUUGAGGAAUAUUGAGGAGGCAGGAAAACCGAAGGUUUCUUCAGAUUAUCCAUGGAGCAGUUGAAAGUUCAAAUUAAUCAAAUGAUAGAGCAGCUGAAACAAAGGAGCGUGGGUCGGUCUACUGUGGACCCGCAUGAACUGAUAGGGAAACUUGAGCAAGCAAAAUCAUAUUUGUUUGCUGAAGCUAUACGUGGUGAGCCCUUGAUGGGUAUGCCUCCAAUUUCCCCGACCACUGCCCAUGCUGCUGCUUCAUCUAUGGUGUCUCUCCCUAGGGGUGUUUUAGAUAUGACCGAUCCAAUACUACCACUACCCGCUACGCUUCAACCACCACUGGCCCCUCGUUUUGCUGAAUUUCAAGUACCACCACCACUGCCACAACAGCCCCCUCUCAACUGGGACGUUACGUGGGGUUCGACUGAUGAACAACUUUUUGUUCCUGUGAACAACUUUAUCAGCUAUUGGUUUACCACAGUGGUGGCUAAUUUAGAAGCUAUAUUAGUUGAUCAGGACUGUUAUGACUACUUACGGGACAAUAGUCCCACUUAUAGCUUCAUCAAUUCACCGUACGUCGGUGCAAUUGGGAUUCCUGUGACAAUAAUGAGCAGAGAGUUACAUAGAGAAAUCAAUCCAUCGUCUUGUCCGGGUUUGUUAUCUCGCACACACUCUUCCGAAUGGAAAGUUUUUUGGCCAUCACUGGGGACAAGAUUUUAUGUGGGAUUGAGAAUUCGGUUAUCUUAUCAAUGGAAGAGAUCUGGAUCAAAAUACAUGCUUUUUAUUUUCAUCGAUAACGAAGAAGCGGAUGGUUCUUAUCCGAUAGAGUCACACGGAGCGGGUCCCUCUAACCGAGAUGUUCGGCAUCGGAUGGUGUGAUCAACUUUACAAGGGGAUGUUUCUGUCUUGGCUGACAUCAAUGAUUCUGCAAGCAAGGCCCCCGCCCUGUGUUGAUUCCGACAACAUCUUUAAAUCAAGAGAGAUUCUCCAACUCUUCUUUCUGUGUUUCUCUUUGGCCAUUGGAUCAAAUCCUUAUCUUUUAUCGGAAGUUUCAUGAAGGUGACAUCUUUGUUGCUAUCAUCUUGUUGGGUUUUGGCAAGAGGAGGUGUUACUGAAGCAAAGAAUGAACCCAAAAUGACCAAAAGGGAUACCGUUAUUGCUGCUAUGCUCAUUCGUAAUUACAUUAGAAAUAUGAAUUUUUAUAUGUUAAGUCUCUGCCUUUAAUAUAUUCUCUUAAAUUUGGACAAUUAUUGUUGCAUAACACAUGAAAUUGUCUAAUAAAUAAAUAAAUAAAUAAAUCACCAACCAAGAUACAUGAGAAUGUACUCAUGGAAGAUAUACAACUUCAUGGAACAGUCCAUAUAUAUUUUACGAUGUAACAUUCGUAUUCGAUAAUGUUUCAAUAGUGAUAUAUAUGGUCAUUAUUCAAUUCUAAAUUUAUUAUAAUUCAUGCGAAGUUUUUACUUUCUCUCUUGGAUCAAAUCGUCAAUGUAUAUUCUUAUUCAUAUAUGUUUCAUCAAUUUAAAUUUUAUUUAUAAACUUAGGAAUAAAUUAAUCAAGCAGAACGUAGCACUAUAUGCUUCUAAUAUAACUAGAUAUUAGAGCCCAUGCCAGCACGGGCUCAAUGUACUACUUUUCGAAUAUUAUAUGUUAUUUUUUAUCUCAAUUUAUAUGUUGCUAAUGAAAUAUUUGUUAUAUAUAUUUAAAGUUGUUAAUUAUAUUAUGAUUUAUAUGUCUUUCAACUCAAUUAUAGCUAGAUUCUUUCUCAGAGUUUUUUAUUCAAACAACUUUAAAACUUUUUUUGAUAGUAUAAAAUGUAAGCCUAAACAAACUUUAGGUC